AUCUAAAGAUCAACUGUACCUAGAACAUAGAUACAGAGCCACUUGUUAUCAGGAAGCUGCUCUCUCAGCACAACGGAAAAUAUCUCAAUGACUUGACAUGUUCUGGUUGUGAAUUCAGGCUACAAGGGGUCAGUGCUCUAAAAUGAGUCUCUCUGGGGAGAGAGAGGAGGGGGGCCCUGCCUCUAAAAUGAGUCUCUCUGGGGAGAGAGAGGAGGGGGGUCCUGCCUCUAAAAUGAGUCUCUCUGGGGAGAGAGAGGAGGGGGGCCCUGCCUCUAAAAUGCAUCUAUCUGAGGGACAUGACAACAAAGCUAAGAGUCCAAUCAAGCAGGAGAGACCAGCCUCCCCUGUACCCAGCUGUGUGUCCAUGAAGAGUGACCAGUCUAUGGGUCAUCCUAUAGAGUUUAGAGAGGGAGACUUUUCUACUGAACAAAG